GUGUAGCGCAGUGGUAGCGUGCCUGGUUUGGAACCAGGAGGUCGAUGGUUCGAACCCAUCCA
rnacentral:tRNA from 1 species